CAAAAAUGUCGAUUAAAUAAAUACUUUUAUGAUUUUUUUAAAAUUAUAUGUCUAAAUUUUUAAUAUAAAAAAUAUAAUUAUUACAUUUUUCAUUUUACAAUGUUUAUUUAAAAUAAUGAUUUCACAAAAAUAUAAUAUAUGUAAUUUUAAACAUUGAUAAAUUCUCUAUGAAAUAUCUUUUACACGUCAUCUGGACAAGAAUGAAGUUGCUUCUGAUUUUGUACUUAUAGCAGAUUGCAAACUCAUCAUGGAACCUCUAAAAAUGUUAAAUUAUAUAAUUAUAUUUAUAAUAUAAUAAUUACAUAAAAAUUAAGAAUUAAAGAAAUACCUAUAAUGAGUUGAAGAUAAUGUCUCAUAGAAGUACAUAAGUUGUGCUUUAUGGCUACUAAUGGAUGGAAGAAAUUCUCCUGAAUCAUCUUGAUUAUGCCAUUGUAAUAUAUAUAUACCUGCUUCUUGCAUUAUGUGAGAACCCUAUAUAAAAAUAAAUAAGUAUUACAUAAUUAUUAUAAUGUAAUUAUAUUGUAAGUAAAUUCCUUACAGAAUCUUUAAAAUUAUUUUAAAAAAAUUUAUUAGCAAAAUUAAAAAUUUUUUAUUUUUGAUUUCUUAUUUUAAUUUAAAAAAUUACUUCUUAAAUUUUUUAACAUUUGUAAUUGAAUAUUAAAAAAUUUAUUGUACAUAUAUUUUAUUUUAUUUCUAUAAUAUAUUAUUACUUUUAUUACAUUUGAUAAGAGAAAGAAAAUAAUUUCAAAAAUGACUUAUUUUUCAUUUUGGAAUUUGAAUAUCAUUCAAUUCUAUUAUAUAUAUGAUUAUAAUAUAAAUAAAAAAUAUUUUAUACAACAUAUUGUAUAUUUAUAUUAUAUUAUGUACAAUAAGGAAUCAAUAAUAGAAAAUUUUAUGUAAAUUAGUAUGUAUUUUAGUUAUACUUUUUAUUUAAAUUUUUUUUUAUACUUACUUGAAUACUUUCACCAUCAUGACAAAUAAUACUAGGUUCAACUUUAAUGAAAUGACCUUUGAUUUCUUUUGUUUCUAAUAGUUCUGCAUCUUCAUCUGUAACAGUUUCUGAAAAAAUUAUAUUAAUCAUUUAUAUAAUUAUAACAAAUAAUUAGUUAAAUAUAUAAAGUUAAAUUUUAAUUUUUAAAUAUUUUUUUUAAAUAUUUUUUUUAUUUUAAUAUAUUAUAAAAUCUAAAAAUGAUGAUUAAUAAUAUUUUUAAACUUGAAAUUAUUUUACAUUUUAUUGAUAUACUUACAUACCUAAAGAACGAUUAAUUGUAUCAUCAUGACCUUGAUAAAGUACGGUAAAUAUGAUAUUAUGGCGCAUUACAUCAAAAUCCCAUGUUAAAACUGAUCCUGGAUCAUUUGAACGAAUUAUUAUACGAUGAAUUUGUCCACGGCUUAAACUAAUCGAAUGAUAUAGAUUAUGUUCUUCUUGAGUAGAUGUAGGUUCUAAUUCCAUUUUAUAUAGAUGUUUCGGAACAAUUCCUCCUUCGGUGAUGUAAGUCUAAUAUAAAUAGAAAUAAAUAUUAAAUAUAGUUCUAUUUAUCUUAUAAUAUAUCUUAUAAUUUUUUAUAAAGAAUAACAUAAUAAAUAAUGCAUACAGUAUUUAUUUGUUACAUAUUUCGAACUUUUUACGCAAAUAUGUAUGCACAGAUAUCAUCCCCAUCACUAAAAAGGAAUCCCCAUUGAAUUCAUUAAAAUGAAUAUCAGGCAUCGUCUUUUAAGUCCAUAGUGAUUUCGUAUAUAAAAAGGAACAUAAGGAAAACAAGUUGGAAAUAUGAUGUGACAUUUGUAUUAAUAUAUAUGUAAGUACAUAAUUUAUGAACAUGUAUGAACUAUAAAGAUAUUAUUACUAAUUCUCGCAUCACAUACUUAAAUUGAUACGCAAUAAAAAUUAAAUAAUUGCUGAAAAAUCGACAUCCAAACUACUAAAGUACUUAUAGAAUAUUUAUAGAAUAGUGAAAUUGAAAUUUAAUAUAGAUUAGAAUACGGAAUUCUUUUUAUAUUUUAUCUAACAAUAAAUAUAUUAUUCGUUUUGUUGUAUCAAGAAUCCCUUAAUAAUUUAUUUGUAUACAUUGUCAAUUAUUUAAUUUUUAUUGAAUAAAAGUCUAUGUGAUGUCAAUUUUUUCCUACAAAAUGAACAUUUAUUUCAUAAAUUUUUAGAAAUAUAUAUAUAUAAAAAAGUAUUUUAUAUUUUAUAUAUUCAUCUUUGUUCUGUUUUAUUAUAUUUAUAUUUUUUGAUAACAAUUUAUACAAUUCUUAAUAAAAUAUUACGAAAGACGA